GUUCCUUCCGGGACAUCCAAUAAAAUUUGAAGGAUACAGAUCAAGAAGAUUAGCAUGGUUCAUCCGCAAGGAUGACACAUAUAAAUCAAUAAAUGAUCCGAUUCUUU